UACGAACCGUCCAAACGUUAUUCGGAAUUACUGGGCUUAAAGGGUUUGUAGGCGGCCUUGUAAGUGGGGUGUGAAAUCCCUCGGCUCAACCGAGGAAUAGCGCUCCAAACUACAUGGCUUGAGGGAGACAGGGGUAAGCGGAACUGAUGGUGGAGCGGUGAAAUGCGUUGAUAUCAUCAGGAACACCGGUGGCGAAGGCGGCUUACUGGGUCUUAACUGACGCUGAGACGA
rnacentral:rRNA from 1 species